rnacentral:rRNA from 1 species
GAUGAACGCUGGCGGCGUGCUUAACACAUGCAAGUCGAACGAUGAAGCAAAGAAUCGACGCUUCGGCAGAUAUUCAUUUCGGAUUAGUGGCAGACGGGUGAGUAACGCGUGAGCAAUCUACUUCUUUCAAAGGGAUAGCCUCGGGAACCCGGGAUUUAUACCAUAUAAUAUUUUGAUGAAGCAUUUCGAUUUUAUCAACGCUACGGCGGUAAAGGAUGGGCCCGUGUCUCAUUAAUCGGAUGGUGAGGUAACGGCUCACCAUAGUGACGAUGGGUAACCGGGCAGAGAGGGAGAACGGACACACUGGAAGUGAGACGCAGUCCAGACUCCUACGGGAGGGAGCAGUGGGGAAUAUAGCAAAAUGGAGGGAGCGCUGAAGGAGCGAGGACGCGAAAAUGAUGAAGGAAGUGAAGAAGUAAAACGCUAUUAUAUGGGAAGAAAAGGACGGUACCAAAGGAGAAAGCUACGGCUAAAUACGUG